AUUGAACGCUGGCGGCAGGCCUAACACAUGCAAGUCGAGCGGCGCGGCAGACGGGUGCGUGAUGCCUAUGAAUCUGCCUGGUCGUGGGGGAUGGCGUCCGGAAACGGGCGCUAAUGCCGCAUACUAUCAGAUGAGCCUAUGUCGGAUUAGCUAGUUGGUGGGGUAAAGGCCUAGCAAGGCGACGAUCCGUAACUGGUCUGAGAGGAUGAUCAGUCACACUGGAACGGAGACACGGUCCAGACUCCUACGGGAGGCAGCAGUGGGGAAUAUUGGACAAUGGGCGAAAGCCUGAUGCAGCCAUGCCGCGUGUGUGAAGAAGGUCUUCGGAUUGUAAAGCACUUUCAGUUGGGAGGCGUUACCAACAGAAGAAGCACCGGCUAACUCCGUGCCAGCAGCCGCGGUAAUAC
rnacentral:rRNA from 1 species